rnacentral:rRNA from 1 species
UACGUAGGUGGCGAGCGUUAUCCGGAAUUAUUGGGCGUAAAGCGCACGCAGGCGGUUCUUCAAGUCUGACGUGAAAUCUCCUGGCUUAACUGGGAGCGGUCGUUGGAAACUGCGGAGCUUGAGGCGAUGAGAGGGGUGCAGAAUUCCCGGUGUAGUGGUGGAAUGCGUAGAGAUCGGGGGGAAUACCUGUGGCGAAAACGGCGCCCUGGCGUCGUACUGACGCUCAGGUGCGAAAGCGUGGGGAGCGAACGGG